rnacentral:rRNA from 1 species
UACGUAGGGUGCAAGCGUUAAUCGGAAUCACUGGGCGUAAAGCGCACGUAGGCGGCUUUUUAAGUCAGGGGUGAAAUCCUGGAGCUCAACUCCAGAACUGCCUUUGAUACUGGGAAGCUUGAGUCCGGGAGAGGUGAGUGGAACUCCGAGUGUAGAGGUGAAAUUCGUAGAUAUUCGGAAGAACACCAGUGGCGAAGGCGGCUCACUGGCCCGGUACUGACGCUGAGGUGCGAAAGCGUGGGGAGCAAACAGG